UUAAGAAUCUUGCACAAUGGGCGCAAGCCUGAUGCAGCGACGCCGCGUGGAUGAUGAAGGCCUUCGGGUUGUAAAGUCCGGUAAGCAGGGAAGAAUAAGCAACGGGUAAUAUUCGUUGUGAUGACGGUACCUGCCUAAAGCCCCGGCUAACUACGUGCCAGCAGCCGCGGUAAUACGUAUGGGGCAAGCGUUGUUCGGAAUUAUUGGGCGUAAAGGGCGUCUAGGCGGGGGAUUAAGUUAGAUGUGAAAGCUAUGGGCUCAACCCAUAAAUUGCAUCUAAGACUGGUUCUCUUGAGUCCGGGAGAGGAGAGCGGAAUUCCAGGUGUAGCGGUGAAAUGCGUAGAUAUCUGGAAGAACACCAGUGGCGAAGGCGGCUCUCUGGCCUAGGACUGACGCUGAAGCGCGAAAGCGUGGGGAGCGAACAG
rnacentral:rRNA from 1 species